AACGAACGCUGGCGGCAUGCCUAACACAUGCAAGUCGAACGAAGCCUUCGGGCUUAGUGGCGCACGGGUGCGUAACGCGUGGGAAUCUGCCCCUUGCUUCGGAAUAACAGUUAGAGAUGACUGCUAAUACCGGAUGAAGUCUUCGGACCAAAGAUUUAUCGGCAAGGGAUGAGCCCGCGUAGGAUUAGGUAGUUGGUGGGGUAAAGGCCUACCAAGCCGACGAUCCUUAGCUGGUCUGAGAGGAUGAUCAGCCACACUGGGACUGAGACACGGCCCAGACUCCUACGGGAGGCAGCAGUGGGGAAUAUUGGACAAUGGACGCAAGUCUGAUCCAGCAAUGCCGCGUGAGUGAUGAAGGCCUUAGGGUUGUAAAGCUCUUUUACCAGGGAUGAUAAUGACAGUACCUGGAGAAUAAGCUCCGGCUAACUCCGUG
rnacentral:rRNA from 1 species